UCAUGAUGGACGCCUCCACCGGAUCCUCUGCGAAGCGCUGCAGGAGGAGGGACUGCGUUAGAGCCAGCGCUACCUCUCAGACCUGGGCGGUUUCUUGUUCUGUCUUGUUGGGUUGAACAAGAGCUAAAAGUGUCCCCCAUCCUAUCAGGUGCCAGCAAGGGGUGGGGUUAGAGAAAUACAGUAUGACAUCACAUAACACAGCACCAGAUCUGCCCGUGAGGAAGAAAGGCCACAUGAACAUUUUCUGUACGCUCCCUCAAGCGCGACUAUCAAGCUGUCAAAAUAAAAGUGUCUGAAUC